CCUACGUGUGGCUGCAGUGGGGAAUAUUGGUCAAUGGAGGCAACUCUGACCCAGCAACGUCGCGUGAAUGAUGACGGUCCUCGGGUUUUAAAGUUUUUUGUAUGGGGAUGUACACAGUGACGCUCCUCCCAUUGCGUGCUACCUCUAACUACGUGGCAGCAGCCGCGGUAAUACGUAGGUGGCAAUCGUUAUCCGGAAUGACUGGUUGUAAAGGGUGCGUAGGUGGGUUAGUAAGUUGGCGGUGUAAUUCCGGGGCUCAACCUCGGAGCUACCGCCAAAACUAUUAGACUAGAGUGCAGGAGAGGUAGGUGGAAUUCCUAGUGUAGCGGUGGAAUGCGUAGAUAUUAGGAAGAACAUCAAGGGCGAAGGCGACUUACUGGACUGUAACUGACACUGAGGCACGAAAGCGUGGGGAGCAAACAGGAUUAGAUACCCCGGUAGUC
rnacentral:rRNA from 1 species